rnacentral:rRNA from 1 species
UACGUAGGGUGCAAGCGUUGUCCGGAAUUAUUGGGCGUAAAGAGCUCGUAGGCGGUUUGUCGCGUCUGCUGUGAAAACCGGAGGCUCAACCUCCGGCCUGCAGUGGGUACGGGCAGACUAGAGUGCGGUAGGGGAGAUUGGAAUUCCUGGUGUAGCGGUGGAAUGCGCAGAUAUCAGGAGGAACACCGAUGGCGAAGGCAGAUCUCUGGCCGUAACUGACGCUGAGGAGCGAAAGCAUGGGGAGCGAACAGG